CAGAUUUUUUUUUUUUUUUUUUUUUUUUUUUUUUUUUUUUAUUUUGUUUUGUUUUAUUUUUUGCGUGGAAAAAAAUUUUUUUUUUUUUUUUUUUUUUUUUUUU